GGUGCAUGGUAGACGGGUGAGUAACGCGUAGGGAAUCUACCUUUUUGUGGGGAAUAACGCUCCGAAAGGAGUGGUAAUACCGCAUGAGACCGCAGACUGGGAUGUUUGUGGUGAAACCUGGGGACCGCAAGGCCUGGGGCAAGAAGAGGAUCCUGCGUCUGAUUAGCUAGUUGGCGGGGUAAUGGCCCACCAAGGCGACGAUCAGUAGCUGGCCUGAGAGGGUGAUCGGCCACACUGGAACUGAGACACGGUCCAGACUCCUACGGGAGGCAGCAGUGGGGAAUUUUGCGCAAUGGACGAGAGUCUGACGCAGCAACGCCGCGUGGGUGAUGAAGGUCUUCGGACUGUAAAACCCUGUCGUCAGGGACGAAGGUAUGGGAGUUAAUAGCUCUUAUGCUUGACGGUACCUGGAGAGGAAGCCCCGGCUAACUCUGUGCCAGCAGCCGCGGUAAUACAGAGGGGGCAAGCGUUAUUCGGAAUUAUUGGGCGUAAAGGGCGCGUAGGCGGUUUUUUAAGUCAGAUGUGUAAUCCCCGAGCUCAACUUGGGAACUGCAUCUGAGACUGGAAGGCUAGAGUACUGGAGAGGGUGGUGGAAUUCCUCGUGUAGCGGUGAAAUGCGUAGAGAUGAGGAGGAACACCAGUGGCGAAGGCGGCCACCUGGACAGUAACUGACGCUGAGGCGCGAAAGUGUGGGUA
rnacentral:rRNA from 1 species